AACGAACGUUGGUGGGAUGUUUUAAACAUGCAAGUCGAGCGGCAGCACUUCGGGUGGCGAGCGGCGAACUGGUGAGUAACGCGUAGGUUAUCUGCCUCAUGGACUGGGAUAGCUCCUGGAAACAGGGAUUAAUACCGGAUAUGUCUAUAGAUGAAAGCGGCGUUUGCCGCACCAUGAGAUGAGCCUGCGUCCCAUUAGCUUGUUGGCGGGGUAAUAGCCCACCAAGGCGACGAUGGGUAGCCGGCCUGAGAGGGUGAUCGGCCACAUCGGGACUGAGAUACGGCCCGG
rnacentral:rRNA from 1 species